rnacentral:rRNA from 1 species
GACGAACGCUGGCGGCGUGCUUAACACAUGCAAGUCGAACGGAAAGGCCCUGCUUUUGUGGGGUGCUCGAGUGGCGAACGGGUGAGUAACACGUGAGUAACCUGCCCUUGACUUUGGGAUAACUUCAGGAAACUGGGGCUAAUACAGGAUAGGAGCUCCUGCUGCAUGGUGGGGGUUGGAAAGUUUCGGCGGUUGGGGAUGGACUCGCGGCUUAUCAGCUUGUUGGUGGGGUAGUGGCUUACCAAGGCUUUGACGGGUAGCCGGCCUGAGAGGGUGACCGGCCACAGUGGGACUGAGAUACGGCCCAGCCUCCUACGGGAGGCAGCAGUGGGGAAUAUUGCACAAUGGGCGGAAGCCUGAUGCAGCAACGCCGCGUGCGGGAUGACGGCCUUCGGGUUGUAAACCGCUUUCGCCUGUGACGAAGCGUGAGUGACGGUAAUGGGUAAAGAAGCACCGGCUAACUACGUG